CCUACGGGCGGCAGCAGUGGGGAAUAUUGGACAAUGGGGGGAACCCUGAUCCAGCCAUGCCGCGUGUGUGAAGAAGGCCCUCGGGUUGUAAAGCACUUUCAGUGAGGAAGAACGCCUGGUGGUUAAUACCCAUCAGGAAAGACAUCACUCACAGAAGAAGCACCGGCUAACUCCGUGCCAGCAGCCGCGGUAAUACGGAGGGUGCGAGCGUUAAUCGGAAUUACUGGGCGUAAAGCGCGCGUAGGUGGCUUGAUAAGCCGGUUGUGAAAGCCCCGGGCUCAACCUGGGAACGGCAUCCGGAACUGUCAAGCUAGAGUGCAGGAGAGGAAGGUAGAAUUCCCGGUGUAGCGGUGAAAUGCGUAGAGAUCGGGAGGAAUACCAGUGGCGAAGGCGGCCUUCUGGACUGACACUGACACUGAGGUGCGAAAGCGUGGGUAGCAAACAGGAUUAGAUCCCCUGUAGUC
rnacentral:rRNA from 1 species